rnacentral:rRNA from 1 species
UGGCGGACGGGUGAGUAAUGUCUGGGAAACUGCCUGAUGGAGGGGGAUAACUACUGGAAACGGUAGCUAAUACCGCAUAACGUCGCAAGACCAAAGAGGGGGACCUUAGGGCCUCUUGCCAUCGGAUGUGCCCAGAUGGGAUUAGCUAGUAGGUGGGGUAAAGGCUCACCUAGGCGGCGAUCCCUAGCUGGUCUGAGAGGAUGACCAGCCACACUGGAACUGAGACACGGUCCAG